UCUGCGACAUGUGAAAUGGAGCAGAAGGCAAUAGCAGUAUAAAUAUUGAUAGUGACAAAUUCUUCAGGGAGAGAAUGACCUGGAAAAAAAAAACAAAAGCAAAUGAAAAAACAACCCUAUCAGAGGGCACUUUUAGUCUGUGAAGUGAGCUGGCAGUCCAGUUAGAUUUUCCAGCAGAGACGGAUUGUAUUUAAAUUUCUUACUGUCAAAUUCAGCUUGAAACAAGAAAGGUAUGGAAGCAUCAGGUCUCAUCUGGAGGAGACUGAUAUCAGCAAGGCUACAAGGCACUGCCAUUGAUGAAGGUGCUUGUAUACAAAGCAAUCUAAGCAUGGUAU
rnacentral:lncRNA from 1 species